ACAUGUAGCUCAGUAGUAGAGCACUUGCCUAGCAUACUCCAGGCCCUGAGUUCGAUCCUCAGAACCAUGAG
rnacentral:tRNA from 1 species